GAUGAACGCUGGCGGCGUGCCUAAUACAUGCAAGUCGAGCGAACAGACGAGGAGCUUGCUCCUCUGACGUUAGCGGCGGACGGGUGAGUAACACGUGGAUAACCUACCUAUAAGACUGGGAUAACUUCGGGAAACCGGAGCUAAUACCGGAUAAUAUAUUGAACCGCAUGGUUCAAUAGUGAAAGACGGUUUUGCUGUCACUUAUAGAUGGAUCCGCGCCGCAUUAGCUAGUUGGUAAGGUAACGGCUUACCAAGGCGACGAUGCGUAGCCGACCUGAGAGGGUGAUCGGCCACACUGGAACUGAGACACGGUCCAGACUCCUACGGGAGGCAGCAGUAGGGAAGCUUCCGCAAGGGGCGAAAGCCUGACGGAGCAACGCCGCGUGAGUGAUGAAGGUCUUCGGAUCGUAAAACUCUGUUAUUAGGGAAGAACAAAUGUGUAAGUAACUAUGCACGUCUUGACGGUACCUAAUCAGAAAGCCACGGCUAACUACGUG
rnacentral:rRNA from 1 species